rnacentral:rRNA from 1 species
GAACGGUAGCACAGAGAGCUUGCUCUUGGGUGACGUGUGGCGGACGGGUGAGUAAUGUCUGGGAAACUGCCCGAUGGAGGGGGAUAACUACUGGAAACGGUAGCUAAUACCGCAUAACGUCUUCGGACCAAAGUGGGGGACCUUCGGGCCUCACACCAUCGGAUGUGCCCAGAUGGGAUUAGCUAGUAGGUGGGGUAACGGCUCACCUAGGCGACGAUCCCUAGCUGGUCUGAGAGGAUGACCAGCCACACUGGAACUGAGACACGGUCCAUACUCCUACGGGAGGCAGCAGUGGGGAAUAUUGCACAAUGGGCGCAAGCCUGAUGCAGCCAUGCCGCGUGUAUGAAGAAGGCCUUCGGGUUGUAAAGUACUUUCAGUGGGGAGGAAGGCGAUGGAGUUAAUAGCUUCGUCGAUUGACGUUACCCGCAGAAGAAGCACCGGCUAACUCCGUG